GACGAACGCUGGCGGCGUGCUUAACACAUGCAAGUCGAACGAAGUGGCGAACGGGUGAGUAAUACAUGAGUAACCUGCCCUCCUUUUUGGGCUAAGCCUUGGAAACGGGGUCUAAUACCGAAUAAAGGGGGAUGGGCGCGCGGCCUAUCAGCUUUUUGGUGGGGUGAUGGCCUACCAAGGCGUGGACGGGUAGCCGGCCUGAGAGGGUGACCGGCAACAUUGGGACUGAGAUACGGCCCAGACUACUACGGGAGGAAGCAGGGGGGGAUAUUGCACAAUGGGCGAAAGCCUGAUGCAGCGACGCCGCGUGGGGGAUGAAGGCUUUCGGGUUGGAAACAUCUUGCGCUAGAGAACGGGUAGGUGGAGAAGAAGCGCCGGAUAACUACGUGCCAGCAGCCGCGGUAAUAC
rnacentral:rRNA from 1 species